rnacentral:lncRNA from 1 species
UAGUACUUCUAAUCAAUCAAAUUCAUUGUAUUAUAACAUAUUCUAACCCAAAAUAACUUUAUACAAGCCAUUCAUUGCCUCAAAGCAAUGGUUUUGGGUUCUUAUCCUAUUUGGGACCAAAUAUCAACAAGUCUUUCUUCUCACUUCUAAAACAUUCUUCAUGCAUCUCUAGCACUUGUAAUCAAUCAAAUUCAUUGUAUUAUAACAUAUUCUAACCCAAAAUAACUUUAUACAAGCCAUUGACUGCCUCAAAGCAAUGGUUUUGGGUUCUUAUCCCAUUUGAGACCAAAUAUCAACAAGUCUUUCUUCUCACUUCUAAACAUUCUUCAUGCAUCUCUAGCACUUGUAAUCAAUCAAAUUGAUUGUAUUAUAACAUACUCUAACCUAAAAUAACUUUAUACAAGUCCUUCAUUGCCUCAAAGUAAUGGUUUUGGGUUCUUAUCCUAUUUGGGACCAAAUAUCAACAAGUCUUUCUUCUCACUUCUAAACAUUCUUCAUGCAUCUCUAGCACUUGUAAUCAAUCAAAUUCAUUGUAUUAUAACAUAUUCUAACC